UAUCAGUCUUCUGUGCCAAGACACGCUGCUACUUUCAGAGACAAUCUUUUCUUCCCAGCUUGGCUGAUUGCUGUGGGGAGGAGAACGGAGACGAAAAGCUCUGAAAAAAACACCCUUAAAGAAAAUGGGAAGAAGGGAAACAGAUACAUUUCUGCAAUUCUCCACCCACCUUUUCUGCCAAACACCUCUGCUUCUCAAAAAAAUGGGUUUUGUUCCCUUCUGUGUCUCCCUGUGACCCAUGUGUCUUUCUGCCUCUUGCAGCUGUUUGGAAAUCUUUUUGAAGAGAAGUGCAUAUUGGAAAGAUCGCAGAGGGAAUUUUAUCUGCUUUGAGGACUAGGAACCAGGAUCUUUCCCUGAGACAUCAGAAACUGAGUAGUGGACACUGGGACUUGAGACCUUCUCAAGUGGCAGCUGGGAGCUGAGAGAGAUGGUGGGAACCCAUUGGUGUCAGCUUCUGAAACAAGCAGAAUACCAGAGCACAACUGCUUACCUUCCUGCCCUGCUAGUCUCUCAGGGGAAUACGAUGUCUUGGUUCACUAAUCUGAAGAUAAUUGGGUAUCUGUUCAGUUGUUCAGAGAUUCUAAAAUCUUCGGUCUCUGUCCUAAAGUCCAAAUCUUCUUCCCACCUUCAUCAAUCUGAUUUUUUCCUAUUUGUGUAGUACUUGCAUAAUUUUGAAACAACACUGGUUAUACUGUGACAAUAGACUUCUUACAUGGCUGAAACUAGUUGCUUGCUCCCAGUUUUUUCUACAUCUCACGUCACUGGUGGCUAUAUAUUUCUACAUUUACCAAAUAGCUCUGAAUACUGUAAAAAAGUUUGUUGUGUACUGCAGAAAAAUGUCCUUGCUGAUCUUUCUUUCUUUGUAAUAGGUCACUUUCCUUCAGCUUAACAUCAGAAUCCAAUUUGCAAAUACUUUUUGCAUAAAUGACUGGGAUUUGAUUUAGUGGAAGUAAAAAGACGCUCUUUUGGUAGUCACAACUCUUGAAUCACUGGUAGAAACAUCAUUGUGAUCCAUACUGUCUAACAAAUAGAGCUAGUCAAAUCCCAAAUCUUUGUGCAAACUGAGAAAUGGGAAUGGAACAUGUAACAAAAAUCAGACCUUAUAAUCCUUUGUUUCAACAUAGCUUUAAGACUUCCGUGUUUCUGUAACAUUUGCCUUUGAGCCUUUUCCUCUCUUCUCUACUUUAUAUCUUUUCUCACAAUAGCUACAGUUCUAGCACUCUCUUACAAAGGCUUUUCAGUAGCUGCGCUGAUAGUAAAGACAAAGAAAUUGUAUGAAAAUUUGUGUAGCAACCUGACUCAGUUUAACUGUAAGUGAUCUUACAGUAGAGAUAUCUUUGUAAACUGACUGGACAGAUUUGUUCAUGACAAUAUGCAGUUUAUUUAUCUGUCUUAUCUAUAUGUCUGAACUCUUCAAUCUUCAUCAUUACAGCAUCUCACGGCUCCCAAGCUUUAAGUAAUUAUGUUUUCUCUAAUUAAUACUCUCUAAGCUUUAGAAUUUCUCUGGUUAAGGAAUUUAUUGCCUUUUUGAUUAGAAAAUGGAUGUGAUCAUUUUGAACACAAUGUAAUUUAAAUUAAAGCAACUAAUAAAA